GACGAACCGUACGAACGUUAUUCGGAAUCACUGGGCUUAAAGGGUGCGUAGGCUGCGCAGCAAGUUGGGUGUGAAAUCCCUCGGCUUAACCGAGGAACUGCGCCCAAAACUGCUGUGCUCGAGGGAGAUAGAGGUGAGCGGAACUUAGGGUGGAGCGGUGAAAUGCGUAGAUAUCGGGAGGAACACUUGUGGCGAAAGCGGCGCACUGGACCACUUCUGACGCUGAGGCGCGAAAGCUAGGGGAGCAAACAGG
rnacentral:rRNA from 1 species